rnacentral:lncRNA from 1 species
AAUGGGGGAGGUGGGACGGUGGGGUGGAGCAGACAAUGCAGAGAGUCGGACGCCGAUCAGAGGGCUAGAAAGCAUCAGAGGGACGACCAUGGGGUGGGGUAAUACGAAGGAUUUAUAUAGGAGUAGAGAAGAGAAGAGAUAGUAUGCACAUCGUACCCCUGCAAUGACAUGUCAGGCGGUAGAGAGCUCGGAUAGCCGCGCGUCUCAAGCUUAUUGGUUGCAUAAUCGGG